ACGCUGGCGGUAGGCCUAACACAUGCAAGUCGAACGGCAGCACAGUAAGAGCUUGCUCUUACGGGUGGCGAGUGGCGGACGGGUGAGGAAUACAUCGGAAUCUACUUUUUCGUGGGGGAUAACGUAGGGAAACUUACGCUAAUACCGCAUACGACCUGCGGGUGAAAGCAGGGGAUCUUCGGACCUUGCGCGAUUGAAUGAGCCGAUGUCGGAUUAGCUAGUUGGCGGGGUAAAGGCCCACCAAGGCGACGAUCCGUAGCUGGUCUGAGAGGAUGAUCAGCCACACUGGAACUGAGACACGGUCCAGACUCCUACGGGAGGCAGCAGUGGGGAAUAUUGGACAAUGGGCGCAAGCCUGAUCCAGCCAUACCGCGUGGGUGAAGAAGGCCUUCGGGUUGUAAAGCCCUUUUGUUGGGAAAGAAAAGCAGCAGGUUAAUACCCCGCUGUUCUGACGGUACCCAAAGAAUAAGCACCGGCUAACUUCGUG
rnacentral:rRNA from 1 species